AUUUCUCUUUGGGGGCGUGGCUUAUCUGGGUCCGCUUUCCCGCCGACGGUUGGCCACGUCACGUGACAUGGGCUGGAAGAUGGCGUCUCCCACAGACGGGACAGAUCUAGAAGCAUCUUUACUAAGUUUUGAAAAACUUGACCGUGCUUCACCAGACCUUUGGCCAGAACAAUUACCAGGUGUUGCUGAAUUUGCUGCUUCUUUCAAAAGUCCUAUUACUAGCUCUCCACCCAAAUGGAUGGCUGAAAUAGAACGUGAUGAUAUUGACAUGUUGAAAGAACUGGGGAGCCUCACCACGGCUAAUUUGAUGGAGAAGGUACGAGGCCUACAGAACCUGGCCUAUCAGCUGGGGCUGGAUGAGUCCACCAGAAAAUUUACUGCGGAGAAGGCAGUUUGGGAAUAGUCAUUGUGGAAAGAGAGCCAGAAGCAAGGCUCAAUGUAGGAUGGAAGAAUUGGAGAGUCUAAAGAGAUUGUAUUAAACCACACACCACCUUCAGAGCAAGCAGGAUGGAGUCCUCGCUUCAGCCCUGACCUAAGUAUUCCCAGCCAGAGAGAUGACCCGGGGGAAAUUCCUCAACAUUCUGGAGAAGCCCAAGAAGUAGCAGCUGCUUGCAGGCAGGAUAUCCUGGGGACUGGAACCAUGCUUCCCAACGCGCACCUCAGUGCUUCCUGGCGAGAGGCCGGAGGGUGCACCUCCAGGACUGAUGUCUCUCUUGCUCUUGGCACUCUGCACCUCUAAGGAUGUUUGGCAGCAAGAGAAGAAUCUGCUCUACCCAAGGAUCAGUGCAGUUACUCAGUCAGCUUCCAGACUUUGACCACCUCAGCCUGAGAUAUUGGUAACACCAGAGGGCAUAUCAUUCUUAAAGGUCAAAGUCCUGCUGUCUCUUUUUGGAAGUGACACCGGAGCCCCAGGAUCUUGCAGUUGAUUUGAUUCAGUGAUGGCAAAGUCAGUUGUGACAUGUUGAUUGGAUGGGUUCUUUUGAGUUGUACUUGAUCUCUUAGGAAGUAUUUAUGAUGGGAGGAGACCAGAGACUAGUUGGAUUCUGAAACAGAUCAACUGAGCUGUGAACUCUCUAGUGUAUACUAGGUUCCAAGAAUCUCCCUCUGGAGAAAUCAGAAUCUUCUUGAAAUGCACAUCUGCUUUAAAAAUUCUAUACCUCUCAAGAUAGUGCCAUCCUCCGGUGCCUUUCAUUCCCCAUCCUCCACCCCCCAUCAGUUCUGACUGCAGAGAAGGGGGUCCUCAUGUAUCAAGUCCCUCCUGGGAUCAGCAUGUAUAGUGAAAGGCCCGUGCCAGGUUGGGUUCUAGACCUCAAGACCAAGUUAAAGGUGACAGAAAGGAUUUUUGAAUUCUAGUUAAUCUGUUACAGAUUCAAGCAGGGAAGUCAGUAUGGCCUGAAAGAAAGGAGAAGGGAAUUGUCUGCAGGAUUUCCCAUUGAUUAAAAACUAGAAACUCUAGUUGACCUUUGUGCUGUAGAAUGGUGGCUGUGUUUUGCCCCCCUUGUCCCUGCUCACAGCACAUGUCAAAUACUUCACCCAUAUAAUAGAAACACACACACACACAUACAAAAGGGAAAAAAAUUUUCCUGACUUAAAUACAUCUCUUAUGAAACUCUUUGCCAGUUAUCAGUCUCUGUGUUAAAAACCUCAAAAUCUAGCUAAAAUUGAUUACACAUUGUUCUUCAUAUUUUGUCUUAUAACCCAGCCCCCAGCCUCUAAGGUUCUGAGAAAAACAUGGGGUUUCCCUAAACUUUAUGGAAAGAAGCAUCCGUGUGGCAGUAGUCUGUCGGUGUUUGGACACAAGGAAAGUUGUGGUCAAGUGUUUGGUCCUGAGUGUCUGCUGGAGUGCAGCACUAUUCCAUUUUGUAGCUGGGCCAUUAUCUGCUCUCUGACACAUGUACCUUGUUUCCCAUGCUAGAAUUAAUGUUGGAUUUUUCUCUGAUUUGUACCAUUUGACCAUCCAUGCAAUUUUACAUAUUGUAAAGGCGGGAAAAAUUGAACACAAGACAAAAGGGAUAAAUAUGAGAAGGAAAACAUUCUCCUUGGAUGCUGUCAAAAAGUUAGGCAGUAGAGGCUUUGAUUUUAAGUUAAGCUUAUUAUUGUCAUUCCUUUAUCUCUAAAUGUGGUUGAAGAGUGAGAGAGAGGGAUGGUGGGGGGUGCCAAAAACAGUGCCGUAAUGUCAGAUUCUUCCUUUGCUCUGUAUUUGAGAGUUGAUGACAUCAGACACUUCUAAGUGAUUGGGGAAAUUGAGAAAUGUGUGGAGAAUAUUGGGAUACCUCCCCCAAACCAACUCAAGUCUGUAAACUGAAGCUGCGUAGUUGGUUUUUUGGUCUGCUCUGGCCCCUUUCUUUUACUGUCAUCUUACUCACCAGCACUUACUGUAAGUAGAUGUUUUAGAAUUGCUAUAUUUAUUGGUUUUAUAUUUGUCGUCCUUAGAAAUGUUAAUGAUGUAUUUUUAUAUUGAUAAUAUAAAUUUAUGUAUAAUGUGUGCAUGUAUGUAUUUCAGGGUGUUAGAGGAUUGUACUUUGUACAUGAUGGUUUCUGCGUCAUCAUAAUAAAUAUAUCCCUUUUACAGCA